rnacentral:rRNA from 1 species
GACGAACGCUGGCGGCGUGCCUAAUACAUGCCAGUUGAGCGCUGAAGGUUGGUACUUGUACCAACUGGAUGAGCAGCGAACGGGUGAGUAACGCGUGGGGAAUCUGCCUUUGAGCGGGGGACAACAUUUGGAAACGAAUGCUAAUACCGCAUAAAAACUUUAAACACAAGUUUUAAGUUUGAAAGAUGCAAUUGCAUCACUCAAAGAUGAUCCCGCGUUGUAUUAGCUAGUUGGUGAGGUAAAGGCUCACCGAGGCGAUGAUACAUAGCCGACCUGAGAGGGUGAUCGGCCACAUUGGGACUGAGACACGGCCCAAACUCCUACGGGAGGCAGCAGUAGGGAAUCUUCGGCAAUGGACGAAAGUCUGACCGAGCAACGCCGCGUGAGUGAAGAAGGUUUUCGGAUCGUAAAACUCUGUUGGUAGAGAAGAACGUUGGUGAGAGUGGAAAGCUCAUCAAGUGACGGUAACUACCCAGAAAGGGACGGCUAACUACGUG